UUUUAAAAAGCGCCCUAAGGCGCGCGCCUAGGCGCGCCUAGGCUCAAGGCGCCCACUUGGGGCUUAUUUGUGAGGAGGCGCAGCGAAUUAUAAAAAGCCCAUAUUAGGCGCGCGCCUCCCUUGAGGCGCGCCUAGGCGCAAGUUGAAUUAGGCGUGGGCUUUUUUUUAUAAGUUAUGGGCUGGGCUUUAAUUAUAAAAAACUAUUAUUAUCUAGGUUUUUUAAACCUAUUACGUAAACGUGAAGAAAGAACCCUUCUCCUUUCGCGCGUGAAGACUCUUCAUCUACUUCUUCAGUUCUUCGUCUUCCGUUCUGCUUCUACUUCAGUUCUUCGUCUUCGUCUUCCGUUUGCUUCCUUUUCCACCCUUCCGUUCCGGCCACCCUUCUUCUUCACACAAAACGAGUGCUGCGGCUGCCAUUACUCUGUUUUUUGGUGCACACGACUCUUCAUCUACUUCUUCAGUUCUUCGUCUUCCGUUCUGCUUCUACUUCAGUUCUUCGUCUUCGUCUUCCGUUUGCUUCCUUUUCCACCCUUCCGUUCCGGCCACCCUUCUUCUUCACACAAAACGAGUGCUGCGGCUGCCAUUACUCUGUUUUUUGGUGCAAAAACAGAGGAAAAGAGAAGACAAUAAUAUUCUGUGCUACAGUGCUGCUAGUGCUUCAGUUUUCGCCUCCUCCAUCUCAGCUUUAUCACGGUGGAAUGGUGGGAUAAUUUUGGACAAUCAACUCCAAACUUGCAAAAGUUUGCUGUGAGAAUUUUAGGUCUUACUUGUAGUGCUUCUGGAUGCGAGCGUAAUUGGAGUGUGUUUGAACAGCUUCAUAGCAAGAAACGAA